CAGAUGGGGAGCAUUAUUAAACAGCUGGAGAGCAGUGAGAACGACAUGGCUAAAGAGGCACGGAACUUGAACACAGCUGCAGGAAAACUCCUUCAGAGGCAGCAAUAAAAUAAUCGCAAACACUGGAUAGUUUCCAAAAAAAACCUAAAUU